rnacentral:lncRNA from 1 species
UUCCUCUUGACAGUUCCUUCUGCACCCGAUGCAAGAAGAAACAUUAGUAAAUCUGGACGUGACAACAUGGUAGGGAGAGAGCCAUAAAAUUAUAUGCAUGAAUUUGUACCAGAAGACAUGAGAGAGACUUGUGAACAAAAAUUUCAUGCCCGUUUCUGUACCCCGCCGCGUCUUCCUUCGUUGCCGAAACCAGCUAUAAUCGUUCUUCGUGUGCUUCCAAAUUCAUCGGCCAGAAAGCGAUGUUGAUGGAUCAAUCUUCAAUAUGCCUGCAAAAAUAUUGCGGGCAGAGCGAUGAGUUUUCUAGGGAAGUGAUAUACAUGAAGGAUAGAAGGAAAGAAACAUAUUAGCUAUUGAGAAAUGAAGAUGCCACUGGAAAGACAUGGGCGUAUGGCGAGGAGGAAAAACGGGGAGAGCGUCAGAUGACCGAUCGAUUUGGGCAGGGCCGCAGGAGCUAUGGCGAGAAGGAAGAUUGGAGAGACAAUCUGAUAUCCCAUUGAUUGGGGAUUCUGCAUGUUUUAGUUUUCUUUGCCAUCUUCGGAUGAGUUUAUGAAGGAAUAGGCUCUCCCGUGAUACAAUGGCAUGGACUUCAUGAGAAACUUGAUCCAACGAUUGUAGAUGACAGGGAGAUCUGAUGGGUAAUUCUGCAAGAUUUUCU